UUAGAGGAGGGGCAAAAGCUUUGCUCAUCGAUUGUACUACGGCUUGCCCCUCUCUCUUUUUUCCAAGUCCAAGCUUUUUCUGACCUUAAAAUCUAAACAGGCCAUCAGUCCCUUUUGCUAUUUAGUUUCAUCAAUAAUAGGCUAAUAUAGAUUGUUAUGCGCAUGACAUCACCGUAUCGAUACGUUUUCUCACAAAUGGUAACAUUUAUGGCUCCGAUAUUUUGUUGUCGAAAUUCACCAUGCACGAAUGGGAUGCGCUUGGCACACUGGCGAGGGAAUGAAAUGGACGGAGCAAUAAGGUCAACAGUCUACCCAACAGACAAACAAGACACAAGGCUUUCCGAAGCAGUGAGAGAAGUUAUAACGAUAUCAUAAACGAUGCAGUGUAACAACAAUUAUGUUUGUGACACAAGGGGGUGGGGAGCCCUACAAGAAAAAGUAGAACUGAAGGGUUGACAAACGGCUCUGCGGACAUUAACAUGCAAUAGAGCAAGAGAGGGGAACUCCACUGUUGAGCAGAGAGGUAUGGCAGUCUCUCCCGGGCUGGUCAGCGCUGCAUUCUGCGUAUUGAGAGAGAGAGAGGCUGGCUAAGCAUUUCAAGACUGAUACUUUAUUAUUAAAUCAACACUUCAAAAUACUCGCCUGGGCUGAGGCUUCUAGCCUAACCUAACGCUAGAAUCAUCACCGGACAAAUAUGUCGUGUGUUCUCCACACCAGCUCGCAUGAACGAGUUGGUCAGGCUGCAAGAAAGAGAAGGGAGCUCUACCAUUCCCUUGAAAUCUGUAAUGGUCUAUCUGUGGCUUGAAGCAUGCCAGACGAUAUCAAAUCGCGGCCCUGUAGUGACACCUAGCGGAACCUUCCCCACACCAACAGUUAAUUCACAAAAGUUGCGCUACUUCUAAUUAUAUGAUGGCGUUAUAGCUCUUCUAAACUCUGUACCUUAGUAAAUGUGUAUUAAUUGUAUUGAUUUAUACGGAGAAUUAACGAAAAAAUAAUGAAAAAGUCCAUAAUUCAAAUACACUUUUAGUGUUUUAUUUAGAUAUCCUUACCAGUUUAAAACUGAUAAUCUCCCAAAUAUUUUAGAUGUUUUAGAAAAAUUACUUGUGUAUUUGUGUAGGCUACUCUUAUGAAAGUCUUUGAGUAUCAUCCGUUUUUACGGACUGUAUCAGACAAACAUUUUAGUUGGACGGAAAUAUUACCUACCAUUUUUUGCAUUUAACCCAAAACGUGGUAUUAAAAUGGGUUGAUCUAGUGACGGCGUUGAUGGUAUUAUUAUUAUUAUUAUUAUUAUUAUUAUUAUUAUUAGUGGUUGUUUUAUGCUAUAUUGUCUCGUGUGCUUCUCUAAAUGUGCGUGUAGUAGGCUAAGAACACUUUACCUUACUGCAUAUUAUUUAAAUGACAUGGGUGACGCACAAAUGUUUUAACACAUUUAACACAAACACAACAUUUUAUAUGAUUAAUUUAUUAGUUGUGUUUUUAAAUUGAUUUUAAUUUUUACCAUAUCAUUUUAAUCAAACACCACGCUGGCUCAACACCAAUUCUUUAAAAUUGCAUUCUGCAUAAAACAAAUAUUAGAUUUGGCAAACGUGGAAAAAACUGAGCGUCCGAUAUAGGCU